rnacentral:rRNA from 1 species
CAGUCGCCGCGGUAAUACGGAGGGAGCUAGCGUUGUCCGGAAUUACUGGGCGUAAAGCGCGCGUAGGCGGUUACUCAAGUCAGAGGUGAAAGCCCGGGGCUCAACCCCGGAACUGCCUUUGAAACUAGGUGACUAGAAUCUUGGAGAGGUCAGUGGAAUUCCGAGUGUAGAGGUGAAAUUCGUAGAUAUUCGGAAGAACACCAGUGGCGAAGGCGACUGACUGGACAAGUAUUGACGCUGAGGUGCGAAAGCGUGGGGAGCAAACAGGAUUAGAUACCCCUGUAGUCCCUGUCUCUUAUAA